rnacentral:tRNA from 1 species
GACCUGGUAGCUCAGUAGGUAGAGCACCUCCCUUUUAAGGAGGUGGUCCUGGGUUCGAGCCCCAGCCAGGUCA